ACAGACCUCAUUAGUAUAUAUAUUUAUUACGAUCUUCUUCAUUUCUCUUAUUACACUCCAAGCUAUUGGCAAAAGGACUCGGUCGAAAAGAGUUUUCUCUGUAAAUUUUAAGAAAUUGCAGAUUCUUCGAUAAAAAAAAUGGCCGUGAAACCAACAGCAGCAUUGAGGGCUUUUCUUUUUGGAGGGAUAGCUGUUUUUGCUAAAGUAGCCGGGGCAAUGAAGGCUGCCGGUGGUGCUAAGCUGGGUGCUGCUGCAGCUGCCAUGACCGUGGCAACAUCUGCUGUUAUGACAGGAUCGAAACAGGACCCAAGAGAUGGAUCUAGGCAACCUCCAAAAUGAUAUGCCUUCUCUUUCUUUCUUUCUUUCAGCAGCUUGUAGACGUUGCUCACAGGGAGCUUGUCAAGAGCAGAUGGCCGUGCUUGGCAUUCCAUUUCUGGUCAUUACCGAGAUUUCUUUUGAAAUCACUUGAAAUAAGAAAAGCCAACACUUCUUAUUUGAAUUAAGCA